rnacentral:rRNA from 1 species
UACGUAGGGGGCAAGCGUUGUCCGGAAUUAUUGGGCGUAAAGCGCGCGCAGGCGGUUCUUUAAGUCUGAUGUGAAAUCUCGCGGCUCAACCGCGAGCGGUCAUUGGAAACUGGAGAACUUGAGUACAGAAGAGGAGAGUGGAAUUCCACGUGUAGCGGUGAAAUGCGUAGAUAUGUGGAGGAACACCAGUGGCGAAGGCGACUCUCUGGUCUGUAACUGACGCUGAGGCGCGAAAGCGUGGGGAGCGAACAGG